UGUCCGAUGCCACGUCGACGGUAGCUUUAGGGCAAUGAUCCUCGAUGCUACAUUGGACAUAAACAAAUGUACGUGUUUCGCUUACUGAUAGGAACCUGUGGAUCUUGAAUUGAUUUACGAUCUACGGAGCCAUUUCGGCGAUUACAUUU
rnacentral:snoRNA from 14 species